AUUGAACGCUGGCGGCAUGCCUUACACAUGCAAGUCGAACGGCAGCACGGGAGCAAUCCUGGUGGCGAGUGGCGAACGGGUGAGUAAUAUAUCGGAACGUGCCCGGUCGUGGGGGAUAACGUAGCGAAAGCUACGCUAAUACCGCAUACGAUCUGCGGAUGAAAGCGGGGGAUCGCAAGACCUCGCGCGAUUGGAGCGGCCGAUAUCAGAUUAGGUAGUUGGUGAGGUAAAGGCUCACCAAGCCGACGAUCUGUAGCUGGUCUGAGAGGACGACCAGCCACACUGGGACUGAGACACGGCCCAGACUCCUACGGGAGGCAGCAGUGGGGAAUUUUGGACAAUGGGCGCAAGCCUGAUCCAGCAAUGCCGCGUGCAGGAUGAAGGCCUUCGGUUGGUAAACUGGCUUUGUUACGGAACGAAACGGUGAGCGUCUAAUACAGUUUG
rnacentral:rRNA from 1 species